rnacentral:rRNA from 1 species
ACGUAGGGUGCGAGCGUUAAUCGGAAUUACUGGGCGUAAAGCGUGCGCAGGCGGUCUUGCAAGACAGAUGUGAAAUCCCCGGGCUCAACCUGGGAACUGCAUUUGUGACUGCAAGGCUGGAGUACGGCAGAGGGGGAUGGAAUUCCGCGUGUAGCAGUGAAAUGCGUAGAUAUGCGGAGGAACACCGAUGGCGAAGGCAAUCCCCUGGGCCUGUACUGACGCUCAUGCACGAAAGCGUGGGGAGCAAACAGGAUUAGAUACCCUGGUAGUCCACGCCCUAAACGAUGUCAACUGGUUGUUGGGAGGGUUUCUUCUCAGUAACGUAGCUAACGCGUGAAGUUGACCGCCUGGGGAGUACGGCCGCAAGGUUG